GUACUGCUCCUCUGAUUAACAUCCCCCACCGCACCUCCAAAUGUCAACAGAUGAACACACAACCAGCUGCACGAGGACCACAAAACUGAACAGAGGUUGUUGCUAUUGCCAUCCCCUUUGGGUAUAGCUGUCUUGGCAGUGGAAACUCCUGCCCCAAGGUGUUUUCUUGCUGGAUUAGACAUGUGAUCUGUGGCGGGAGAGCCAGAGAGAGGAGAGAAGAUCCAGUGAGAAUGGGUUCUAAAACUGCACC
rnacentral:lncRNA from 1 species